rnacentral:pre_miRNA from 1 species
UAUUUUCACCUUUGUUGCAAUUUGGACUACCCUAAACCACUUCUUCAGCACAUCAAUUCCAGCCCACCGGUGAACUCCUCCACCUCUUUGCAGAUUCAUAUCUUUGCUGGAGGAGAGGCCAGACAUGGCUAGGGAAGAGAGUUGAGGUGGUCCAAAGUGCAACAAAGUAAAAAAUA